rnacentral:rRNA from 1 species
AUGAACGCUGGCGGCGUGCUUAACACAUGCAAGUCGAACGGAGCACCCCUGACGGAGUUUUCGGACAACUGAAGGGACUGCUUAGUGGCGGACGGGUGAGUAACGCGUGAGCAACCUGCCUUGGAGUGGGGAAUAACAGCUGGAAACAGCUGCUAAUACCGCAUGAUAUGUCUGUAUCACAUGGUACUGGACAUCAAAGAUCUAUCGCUCUGAGAUGGGCUCGCGUCUGAUUAGCUAGUUGGUGGGGCAACGGCCCACCAAGGCGACGAUCAGUAGCCGGACUGAGAGGUUGGCCGGCCACAUUGGGACUGAGACACGGCCCAGACUCCUACGGGAGGCAGCAGUGGGGAAUAUUGGGCAAUGGGCGCAAGCCUGACCCAGCAACGCCGCGUGAAGGAAGAAGGCUCUCGGGUUGUAAACUUCUUUUAUCAGGGACGAAGCAAGUGACGGUACCUGAUGAAUAAGCCACGGCUAACUACGUG